UGGGCGAAAGCCUGACCGAGCGACGCCGCGUGCGGGAUGAAGGCCUUCGGGUUGUAAACCGCUGUCGUUGGGGAGGAAGUGCAGGGGGGUUCUCCCCUCUGUUUGACCUAUCCAAGGAGGAAGUACGGGCUAAGUUCGUGCCAGCAGCCGCGGUAAGACGAACCGUACGAACGUUAUUCGGAAUUACUGGGCUUAAAGGGUGCGUAGGCGGCGCGGUAAGUUGGGUGUGAAAGCCCUCAGCUCAACUGAGGAACUGCACUCAAAACUACCGUGCUCGAGGGAGACAGAGGUAAGCGGAACUCAAGGUGGAGCGGUGAAAUGCGUUGAUAUCUUGAGGAACACCGGUGGCGAAGGCGGCUUACUGGGUCUUUUCUGACGCUGAGGCACGAAAGCUAAGGUAGCAAACGGGAUUAGAUACCCCGGUAGUCUUAGCUGUAAACGAUGAGCACUUGUUUGAAGGGUCCUCCAUAGCCUUUCAGACGUAGCGAAAGUGUUAAGUGCUCCGCCUGGGGA
rnacentral:rRNA from 1 species